GAAAUGCGAUAAGUAAUGUGAAUUGCAGAAUUCAGUGAAUCAUCGAAUCUUUGAACGCACAUUGCGCUCGCCAGUAUUCUGGCGAGCAUGCCUGUUCGAGCGUCAUUUCAACCAUCAAGCUCUGCUUGCGUUGGGGAUCCGCGGCUGCCCGCGGUCCCUCAAAAACAGUGGCGGGCUCGCUAGUCACACCGAGCGUAGUAACUCUACAUCGCUAUGGUCGUGCGGCGGGUUCUUGCCGUAAAACCCCCAAUUUCUAAGGUUGACAUCGGAUCAGGUAGGAAUACCCGCUGAACUUAAGC
rnacentral:misc_RNA from 1 species